ACAAACUUGGUCAUUUAGAGGAAGUAAAAGUCGUAACAAGGUUUCCGUAGGUGAACCUGCGGAAGGAUCAUCAUAAAUUGUUUAUGAUUUUUUUAUAUGUAUGUAUGUAUAUAUACAUUGAUAUGUAUAUAUAUAUGUAUGUAUAUAUAAAAUUAUAUAUCCACACCAUUUUUUAUAAAAUCGUAGUUAUAAAUUAUUACUACUUAAAAGUAUUAAAAAUUAUUUACAACUUUUAACGAUGGAUCUCUUGGCUCUCGCAUCGAUGAAGAACGCAGC
rnacentral:misc_RNA from 1 species